AUGGCCCCGCCGUCGUCUUCUCCUCCCCUUCCGGCAUGGGCGGCGGCGAACGCCCUCUUCCGACGCCACCGCCGCCUUCUCCCGCUCCUCCUUCCCCCGGUGUCCCUCUGCGCCCUCCUACCCGUCCUCUCCCACUGCCUCGUUUCCGGCCUCGCCGGCAACCCCUUCGUCGCCUCCCGCCUCAUCCUCGCCUCCUCGCGCCUCUCCCUCACAUUCUCCCUCCUCCUCCUCUCCCACCUUCCAGCCUCUUCCCUCUCGCCCUUCUCCUUCAACUCGCUCAUACGCGCGUCGCCUCCAGGCCUCACCCUCCGCCUGUUCGAACAAAUGCGCCGCCGGGGCGUUCCCACGGAUAACUACACCCUCCCCUUCUUGAUCCAUGCCUGUUCCGGCAGUGACAUGGCACUGGGACAGUCCCUGCACGGGAAGAGCGUCCGUCUUGGUUACAGCUCCCACAUCUUCACGCAGACGGCGCUGAUGAACAUGUACUUUGGGUGUGGCUUGGCUGUUUCCGCCGGCAGGGUGUUCGAUGAAAUGCAGGCGAGGGAUGUGGUUGCAUGGACCGGCAUGGUCUCUGGUUAUGUGGACUCUGGAAUGCACCUUCGAGCUGCUGAGGUCUUUAAGGAGAUGAGAGGCGGUGAGGAGGUUACAAGGCCUAAUGUAGCAACGUUGGUGUCGGUUGCUUCUGCGUAUGCCAGUCUUGGCUCCCUGGAGUAUGCUAAGGGGCUGCACGGCUAUGUGGAGAAGGUGGGGUUGCGAGGCGAUUUGAUUCUGACGAAUGCACUGAUGGAUAUGUAUGGAAAGUGUGGUAGCAUAGAGUCAGCUCGUGCUCUGUUUGAUUUCAUGCAUGAGAAGGACCUACUUUCAUGGACAACGAUGAUUUCAGGGUUGGCUUCUCAUGGACAUGGCAAAGAAGCGGUUGCUUUGUUUUUAAGCAUGCGCGAGGUGGGAGUACUGCCGGACUCAACCACCUUCAUCGUGGUUCUGUCUGCUUGUAGCCAUGCUGGACUGGUGGAUGAGGGGAUAUCAAUCUUCAAUUCCAUGGCGAGUGAGUACAAGGUCACCCCAGAUAUUAAGCACUAUGGUUGCAUGGUGGAUCUUUUCAGCAGGGCAGGACUUCUUUCACGUGCUUAUGAGCUUAUUGAUAGCAUGCCUUUUGAGCCAAACUUGGCAAUUCUUGGAGCAUUGCUGAGUGCAUGCAGUGUCAAUAAUGAACUGGAGAUUGGGGAACUAGUUCUCCAGAAGAUUGAUUCUGUUUGCUCCUAUAAAGGAGGUGCUGGUGUGCUUCUGUCCAACAUCUACGCUAACCAGAACUUAUGGCAUGAAGUUGAUUCCAUUAGAAGGAAGAUAAGAAAUGGUACCAUACCCAGAAAGCCACCUGGUCAGAGUUCGGUGGCAUCAGAAGUUCCUUUCAUGAGUUUGUGA
rnacentral:rRNA from 1 species